UUUAUCAACGCAAGACGAAGGACAAACACACCCAGUGACAUUCGUCGAACACAAGCACCCAACUCUCGUGAUCAACUAACUCUACAUCACCAAAACGGUAACAAAGAGAGCAGCAGCCACAGUUCCAGAAAUAGCAAAUCUGUUCGAAAUGCCGCUGUUUUCAGCCGGUGAAGGAGCUUCAGACGGCGGCACCGAGAUUGUGGUGGGGGAAGGAGAAGACGCUACUGGAG
rnacentral:misc_RNA from 1 species